rnacentral:rRNA from 1 species
AUUGAACGCUGGCGGCAGGCCUAACACAUGCAAGUCGAGCGAGCGGCGGACGGGUGAGUAAUGUAUGGGGACUGCCCGAUAGCGGGGGAUAACUACUGGAAACGGUAGCUAAUACCGCAUACUAUCGGAUAACCCAUAUGGGAUUAGCUAGUAGGUGGGGUAAUGGCUCACCUAGGCGACGAUCCCUAGCUGGUCUGAGAGGAUGAUCGGCCCCACUGGGACGGAGAGACGGCCCAGACUCCGACGGAGGCAGCAGUGGGGAAUAUUGCACAAUGGGCGCAAUCCUGAUGCAGCCAUGCCGCGUUGAUGAAGAAGGCCCUAGGGUUGUAAAGUACUUUCAGUCGGGAGGCGUUACCGACAGAAGAAGCACCGGCUAACUCCGUGCCAGCAGCCGCGGUAAUAC